rnacentral:lncRNA from 1 species
CCAUAGACUUUUCUCGGCAGAUUUGGAGUCUUGGGGCUUGAACGUUCUUUUGGAUGGAGUUUCUAAUUGCAUUUGAUUUUGGAUGAGGAAGCUCAUGGUUGAUUUCUUUUGCUGGUGCUCAUGGUGAUGUAAUUUGAAAUUGUUAAUUUCAUUGGCAUAUGAUGUUGACGGUGAUGUGAUUGUUGAAUGGGAGAAUAACAUUUCCUUGCCUUUAUUUUCCUUGCCCUUUAUUUUUCUUAAUCUUUGGAUGAGUGCUGCCACAUUUCUUUUAAGCUUUCUUUGAUUGAAGUUAUGAUUAGAUAAAACGGUGUGUUGAGUUACGGCUGGAAGAGAUUUGGAUUUUCACACAGCUGUCUGGGUAUAGAUGAAGUUCAUGCACAAGCUCCUUUCAAUUUGUUAAGGCUGAAUACUAUCUUUUUGGUGAGAUUCCAGCUGCUACCAUUAUAUGUUAUUUUGGCUUGUGCAACGUAUUAAAAAAAUAAGCUAGCUGGAACAUAUAUUGGAAGGUGAGCUCUCGGCAAUUGGAAAAAUGAUGGAUGCAGCAACGUUCUAAAAAGGUAGUAAGCUGGUUCACGGGUUUGGAUGCAACGUGGUGAUUUUAAUUGUGAUUUAUUUUGAAGAUGCGAAUUCCAAUUAGGAAGGUGCACAUGGUUUCGGCUGAUGGUGGAAUUUUAUGAAGAAUAUUAAUUUUUCCAUUAAAAGCUUGUAUUAUUCUUGCUGAAGCAGAGAAAACGAUGAUUCAAUAUGGGUGAAGUGACAGCCUAAUGCAAGGAAAUUUUAAGAGGAGAAGCACGGAGAUUUUAAUUUGGAGAUGAAGCAAGUUCUUUUCUUUUUCUUUGGUGAAGCACGUUAUAUUCCACCCUAGGAAAAUGGAUAUGGAAGGUUACGGAUGAAAGGGAAUUUUGAGAAGUGUGUUGUCACGGCCUGCAUCAAUUGGGUCCAAGGGAGAUGGGUUUCAUGAUUUUACAAUUUUAUUUAACUUAUGCAUUGUUGAUUUAUGUGCUGCUUUCAAUUGCUUCCAAGUCUUUUGCAUUGAAUAUUUCAUUUCCAAGCUGCAUCAUGUAUUCGGUUACUAUACGCGC